ACGUCACUUUGGGCAGCGGCUUCGCCCGGAAGGGCACCUUGAUGUUUGCCGUGUGGCCCACCUUCACAGUCACGGGGUGCGCGGCCAGCGCCUCCAGCACCGACGGGUCGAUGCCCUUGCCUCGGACCUCCUUGCCAUCCUUCAGCCACACGCCCUCCACCUUCUCGUCGUUCAGCACCACGCACAGUUCAGCUGGGCUCCCGGUGGCCGCAUGCACGUCGGACAUCCCGCUCUUCACUGUGGCCAGACGCUCUGGGGGAGAAAGGGAGCAGGUGCCGGACUGAGCCUGAGGAAACCGGUGAAUUAGGCUGAGGAAACCGGUGAAUGGUGGUAUCUGCAACAUGGCACUCACAGCCCAGUGGGGUCUCAGAAUGAAUGAAUUUGUGGUCUGGAACCAGAGGUUGCAGAAGCUGGUUAGAUCUAAGGAUGAUCAGCCCUUGGCCAGAGUCUUCUAGAAGUGUCCCCUGAAGAGCCCAGGAACCCUGACCUUCACCCCUUCGCUAGGAUCAGUUCCUCCCUUGGUGCCUGGCCACCCCGAUUUAACCUGGUUCCACCCACUACGGCCACGUCCCCUUCUAGCCACGCCCAUAGCCUUGGCCUCCCUUCCCUUUUGGCUCUCUCACCUUCUGGAAGAGAUGGGUCUCCUGCCCCUCCUUGGCUUUGCCCUAGCUCUGCUUCGCCUCAUCCCUAAUUUUGGUCUCCUGCCCACCCUAGCAACACCCCAGCUCCUGAUUCGGCCUCUCUUAUCCUGCCCCUCCUCUAGGGCAACGACAGCUUCUUUCCCCAUGGCCCUUCUUGGUUCGUUCAGUUGUGGCUCUCUUGUCCGUGAUGGGGCCGGCGGCAUGCCCUGGGGUCCCUGCCUCUGGCCUCGGCCUAACUGGCUCUCUGGCUCGGGUCCCCGCACCUUCAGCA